ensembl:lncRNA
GAGAGAUAGACUGUAUUGAAAUGCAACUUAUUUUAGAGUUCAUUGAACAUGGAGAGGGCUAUUGGCCCUCAGCCUUCACUCAUUAGGAGGAGGAGAUGCAUUCAGGCUGCAGGACAGGGGAAAGUGAGAAAGAGGACAAGUGAAAGAGACAGAGAUGGAGUGGAUGGGACAGGUUGGCUAACUGGCCAAACUUGGCAAAUGGUGGAGAAGGGCUUUAAUAAUAGAGGUGAGGAACAUGAUGCUCACUCUGGCUAAGCUCCAGAGAUCAUGUGUGGAGAAACUUUCAGAUGGACAAGGACAACCAACACUGCAACUCCAGCAAUCUGAGCACUAUUGGCAGAUUGGCCAGAAGGAAGUUUCUACUCAAUGCAUGACACGAAAGCCUGCUUGAAAUUUGCACCAAAAAAGCAUCUAAACCGACUGAGACUGAGACUGAGAGAAACAAGAUUCUGAUCUGAUAAACCUCAAUUCCAAGCAUUAAGUCUGGAGCAUCUUCUGCACAAUACCAUCCUAACAGUGAAGCAUGGUGAUGGUAGCAUCAUGAUGUCGGGGGUGUUUUGAGGGUGUAGGUGAAUGCAACAAAAUACAGAGAUACCUUUAGUCAAAACGACAAAAAAUCUGGUCCAGAGCACUCAGACUGGGCAGAAGGUUUCCCUUCCAUUAGGACAAUCCUCCUAAGCAUACACCCAAGACAAUGCAAGAGUGGCUUGAAACCUCUGUAAGUGACCUUUAGCAGCAUGCCAGACCCAGACUUCAACCACCAUCUUUAACCAACUACUUGACAUAGCUUGAAAAGAUUUGCAGACAAGAACGGCAGGAAUCUCAGAAUACAGGAGUGCAACACUUGUCCAUAAUACCCUAAAAAACACUUGAGGCUGUAAUUGCUGCAAAGGGUACUGAGUUAAGGCUCUGAAUACUUAUGCAAUGUGGGAUUCACUUUUUUCUUUUUCAAAAAGGC